rnacentral:tRNA from 1 species
GCAGUGGUAGUUCAGUGGUAGAAUUUUCACCUCCCAUGUGGGAGACCCAGGUUCGACUCCUGGCCAAUGCG